rnacentral:rRNA from 1 species
CCUACGGGAGGCAGCAGUGGGGAAUAUUGCGCAAUGGGGGGAACCCUGUUGCAGCGACGCCGCGUGGGUGAAGGAGUGCUUCGGCAUGUAAAGCCCUAUCGGCAGGGAAGAAGCAAGACGGUACCUGACUAAGAAGCCCCGGCUAACUACGUGCCAGCAGCCGCGGUAAUACGUAGGGGGCGAGCGUUAUCCGGAUUCACUGGGUGGAAAGGGAGCGUAGACGGCCAUGCAAGCCAGGGGUGAAAGCCCGGGGCCCAACCCCGGGACUGCCCUUGGAACUGCAUGGCUGGAGUGCGGGAGGGGCAGGCGGAAUUCCUGGUGUAGCGGUGAAAUGCGUAGAUAUCAGGAGGAACACCGGCGGCGAAGGCGGCCUGCUGGACCGCGACUGACGUUGAGGCUCGAAAGCGUGGGGAGCGAACAGGAUUAGAUACCCGGGUAGUC